UACGUAGGGGGCAAGCGUUGUCCGGAAUCAUUGGGCGUAAAGAGCGCGUAGGCGGUCCGGUAAGUCCGCUCUGAAAGUCCGGGGCUCAACCCCGGGAGGCGGGCGGAUACUGUCGGGCUAGAGUCCGGAAGAGGCGAGUGGAAUUCCUGGUGUAGCGGUGAAAUGCGUAGAUAUCAGGAGGAACACCGGUGGCGAAGGCGGCCCUCUGGACGGUGACUGACGCUGAGACGCGAAAGCGUGGGGAGCAAACAGG
rnacentral:rRNA from 1 species